UGUACUUGUCUGGAUGAGCAAGUUUCCUGUGGGUCAAGUAGAACCCUCACAAGUCACCUGGGCUGGAACUGUCUCACCAAUAACCUGAUCAAGAAGGCUUCUUGGUAGGGGACGAAACCCAGCAUCAAGGGCCAUUGAGGGUAUCCUGAGGGCUGUGCUUGAAGGAGCUGGGAGAGUCCAGGCCACCACCUAACCACCACGAGGUGUGACCUUGAGCAAGUUACUUCACCUCUUCGUGCCUCAGUUUCCUCCUCUGUAAAACAGGGGCCAUAAUGGCACCCAGAAGAGAGGUGCCAUGAAGAGGAAGUGGGUUGAUCUGUGAAAAGCACAGAGAGCAUGGCCUAAGAAAAUGAGAGUUCUUGGUGUGUCAAACAAGAAGACAAAGCUGGCCUCAGUUGAACUGCACACUCCUUUCUUCCUCCUGCAGACCGCACACCCUAGUGGAAGAGCCAGAAGGAAGCAAGCAAGAAAUCAACAAAUGUUUUCCAAAGAUGACUACAGUCAGCCCUCCAUUCCAACAUGUUCUGCAUCUGUGGAUUCAAUCAACCACAGGUCAAGAAUAUUUGGGGAGAAAAUCAUGCAUGUAUCGAACAUGUAUAGAAUUUUUUCUUGUGGUGAUUCCCUAAACACUACACUAAAACAAGUAUUUACAUAGCAUUUACACUGUAUUAGGUAUUAUAAAUAAUCUAGAAAUGAUGUAAAGUAUAUGGGAGGAUAUAUAUGGGUGAUAUGCAAAUAGUGUCCAUAAGGGACUUGAGAGGUCUUGAAUUUUAGUAUCUGAGAAUGGAGUCUUGGAACCAAUCCUCAGGGAUGCUAACAGAUGACUAUAAUAGAAGGAACAUAAAAUGAGGGUAAAUUUAUAAAUACUGAUAGAACUGGGAUAGGGUGGUCAGGGAAGCCCUCUCUGGGGCCAUGACCUUGGGACUGAGAGCUAAGUGACAGAAAGCAUUAAAGAAAGCAAAGGUCAGGGGUAGCAGUUCUUUGCAAAAGAGAGAGAAAUCAACCCUGCUGGAGAGGAGUGAUCUGGAAUGAGUACAGUCGCAGAUAAAGUUGGAUGGGAGCCUUAAUCCUGCAGGCUGUGAUAAGGAAUUUGGAUCUUAUUCUAAGUGAGCUGGAGGGCAUUAAGUACUGACAGACCUGAUCUAACUGAGGCAUUAAAAAGAUUACUCUUGCUGCUGGAGAUAAGUAAGAGAAAACAGACUGGAGAAAAGUAAGGGAAGCAGAUUUCUGCCUUAAUCUUGGUGUGAGACCUAACUAACUCCAUUUUAAAAUUUGACUCCAUCUUGGAAUAAGACAGUAAAGUGGCC